CUGCUUUACCCCAAAGCAACCCUUAAAACCUACACCUGGCCCAGUGCCAUUCCCUAGACACCUCCUGGAGGAACAGGAUUGGAAACUGGGGGAAAAGCUUUUCUUUAGCAUAGUGUCUCCAGUAGGUUGAUGCAGUCACAGCACCUUCUUUAGUAAAUGGGCAACUCCUGGCAGGGAAAACAUUGCACUGGUGUGUCCCUACGUCCGGGUUGUCCUGAUUCUCCAAAAAAAA